UGUCCAGUAGCACCUUAGAGACCAACUAAGUUUGUUCUGGGUAUAAGCUUUCGUGUGUAUCUGAAGACGUGUGCAUGCAGAACAAACUUAAUUGAUCUCUAAGGUGCUACUGGACA